rnacentral:rRNA from 1 species
AUUUAGAUCUAUUAGGUAGUAUUUUAUUUUAAACAAACCUAUAUAAAAUGGCGGCAUUUUAUUUUAUUAGAGGAACAUGUUUUUUAAAUCGACUCCACACGAUUAAUUUUACUUAUUUUUAAAUUUUAUAUACCUCCAUUAAAUAAAUUUAUAAAAAUAUAUUUUUAAAAUAAUAUUCUAAAAAAUUAGGUAAAGGUGUAAACAAUAAAUAAGAAAUAAAUGUGUUACAUUAAACUAAAUUUAAGAAUAAUUUAUUUAAAUUAAUUUGAAAAUGGAUUUAAAAGUAAUACUAAUAUAAUAUAUUAAUAUGAAUAAAUAAAUAAAUGUGU